AUGGGCAACACCGGGCCGCCGAGGAUGGCGUCGUGGUGCAGGCACUGCGGCGCGGGCAUCGCGGCGCCGCCGGCGGGGCCGAGCUCCGGCGUCCGGUGCGCGUUCUGCCGCCGCGUGACGCGCGUGGAGCGGCACCGCAGCGUGGGCAGCGCAUCGAGCGCGCUCGCGCCCCCGUCGGCGGUGAGCUCGGCCAGGCUCGAGCUGCCGGCCGGCUACCCGGCGUCCCGCGGCAAGAAGCGUGCCGUCCUCGUCGGCGUCAGCUACACGGGCACCUCCUACGAGCUCAAGGGCACGGUCAAGGACGUCGAGCUGAUGAGGAACCUCCUCUGCGACAAGUUUGGCUUCCCCGGCGACUCCAUCCUCGUCCUCACCGAGGAGAGUGACGACGCGAGCAGAGUGCCGACGAGGGAGAACCUGCUACAGGCGAUGCGGUGGCUCGUCGCAGGAUGCGACGCCGGCGACUCACUGGUGUUCCACUUCUCCGGGCACGGCGUGCAGAAGCUGGACACGGCCGGCGACGAGGUGGACGGGUACAACGAGGCGCUGUGCCCGCUGGACUUCGAGGACAAGGGCAAGAUCCUGGACGACGAGAUCAACGAGACCAUCGUCCGGCCGCUGGGCCCCGGCGUGAAGCUCCACGCCAUCAUCGACACCUGCCACAGCGGCACCAUCCUCGACCUCCGCUACCUCUGCCGCCUCUCCAGGACCGGGUACUGGCAGUGGGAGAACCACGUCCGUCCGGGUAAGCCGAAAGGCACCAACGGAGGCCUCGCCAUCUCCAUCAGCGGCUGCAACGACGACCAGAAGUCAUCGGAGUCGAGCGUCCAGGGGUUCUCCGAUACCGCUGCCAUCGGCGCCAUGACGGACAGCUUCAUCAGGGCCGUGGAGUCCGAGCCGGGGACGACCUACGGGCGGCUGCUGAGUGCGAUGAGGGCGACGAUCCGCGACAGCCAGGGGACCGGCCGCCGCCUCCCCGGGAGGAUCGGCUCCUUCGUCCGCAAGAUGAUCACUUCCAGCGCCGUGCAGGAGCCUCAGCUCUGCUCUUCAGAGAUGUUCGACAUCUACCGGAAGCCCUUUCUCCUGUGA
rnacentral:rRNA from 1 species